AUCACAUUCGGACUGUUGGUCUACGGAGCAAUGUCGCCCGCUCGGUUGAAGAUCUUGCCUUUGUUGA
rnacentral:pre_miRNA from 1 species